CAGAUAUUUGGGCAUACCAUUCAGAUUGAGUUCUGAGAGAGUUCUACACUGUUGGAUGUGCUGAUUUCUGGGUAGGAUUUCGUCCAGGCUGUAUGUGACCAUUUGGAUGGUACACCCUGCUAAUACGUUGGUGGAAGAAGUGGAUGCUCUUGGAUGGUGCCCAACUUCUUGAAUGUUGUUUGAGCUUCGCCCAUCCAGACAAGAGGGGACUAUUCCAUCACACGUCUGACAGGCUUUGGAGAGUGAAUCUCCAUGUAAGCAAUGAUGCAUGAAUAAAGCGUAGUUUGCUACAAAUCUGGUCGUUUAACCAACUGAAUUGCAUCUGGAAUAAGAUGCCUGGCACUUGCCUUUAAAAUGAGAAAAG